UAGAAUCUUUCCACGUCCUUUUCUAUAGA
rnacentral:piRNA from 1 species